ACUUCAUUCCCAGGACAGGUUCCGUUGGGUGAGAUCGUCCCUGUGGAAAUCACUGUCGAACCAGGACAGGUUCCGUUGGGUGAGAUCGUCCCUGUGGAAAUCCUUGUUGGACCAGGACAGUUUCCGUUGGGUGAGAUUGUCCCUGUGGAAAUCACUGUCGAACCAGGACAGGUUCCGUUGGGUGAGAUCGUCCCUGUGGAAAUCACUGUCGAACCAGGACAGGUUCCGUUGGGUGAGAUCGUCCCUGUGGAAAUCGUUGUUGGACCAGGACAGGUUCCGUUGGGUGAGAUUGUCCCUGUGGAAAUCACUGUCGAACCAGGACAGGUUCUGUUGGGUGAGAUCGUCCCUGUGGAAAUCGUUGUUGGACCAGGACAGGUUCCGUUGGGUGAGAUCGUCCCUGUGGAAAUCGUUGUUGGACCAGGACAGGUUCCGUUGGGUGAGAUUGUCCCUGUGGAAAUCACUGUCGAACCAGGACAGGUUUCGUUGGGUGAGAUCGUCCCUGUGGAAAUCGUUGUUGGACCAGGACAGGUUCUGUUACAUGAGAUUGUCCCUGUGGAAAUCCUUGUUGAACCAGGACAGGUUCCGUUGGGUGAGAUCGUCCCUGUGGAAAUCGUUGUUGGACCAGGACAGGUUCCGUUACAUGAGAUUGUCCCUGUGGAAAUCCUUGUUGAACCAGGACAGGUUACGUUGGGUGAGAUCGUCCCUGUGGAAAUCGUUGUUGGACCAGGACAGGUUCCGUUGGGUGAGAUCGUCCCUGUAGAAAUUGUUGUUGAACCAGGACAGGUUCUGUUGGGUGAGAUCGUCCCUGUGGAAAUCACUGUCGAACCAGGACAGGUUCCGUUGGGUGAGAUCGUCCCUGUGGAAAUCGUUGUUGGACCAGGACAGGUUCCGUUGGGUGAGAUCGUCCCUGUGGAAAUCGUUGUUGGACCAGGACAGGUUCCGUUAGGUGAGAUCGUCCCUGUGGAAAUUGUUGUUGAACCAGGACAGGUUCUGUUGGGUGAGAUCGUCCCUGUGGAAAUCCUUGUUGAACCAGGACAGGUUCCGUUGGGUGAGAUCGUCCCUGUGGAAAUCGUUGUUGGACCAGGACAGGUUCCGUUGGGUGAGAUUGUCCCUGUGGAAAUCACUGUCGAACCAGGACAGGUUCUGUUGGGUGAGAUCGUCCCUGUGGAAAUCGUUGUUGGACCAGGACAGGUUCUGUUACAUGAGAUUGUCCCUGUGGAAAUCAUUGUUGAACCAGGACAGGUUCCGUUACAUGAGAUUGUCCCUGUGGAAAUCAUUGUUGAACCAGGACAGGUUCCGUUACAUGAGAUUGUCCCUGUGGAAAUCAUUGUUGAACCAGGACAGGUUCCGUUACAUGAGAUUGUCCCUGUGGAAAUCAUUGUUGAACCAGGACAGGUUCCGUUACAUGAGAUUGUCCCUGUGGAAAUCGUUGUUGAACCAGGACAGGUUCCGUUACAUGAGAUUGUCCCUGUGGAAAUCGUUGUUGAACCAGGACAGGUUCCGUUGGGUGAGAUCGUCCCUGUGGAAAUCGUUGUUGGACCAGGACAGGUUCCGUUGGGUGAGAUCGUCCCUGUAGAAAUUGUUGUUGAACCAGGACAGGUUCCGUUGGGUGAGAUCGUCCCUGUAGAAAUUGUUGUUGAACCAGGACAGGUUCUGUUGGGUGAGAUCGUCCCUGUGGAAAUCGUUGUUGGACCAGGACAGGUUCCGUUGGGUGAGAUCGUCCCUGUGGAAAUCGUUGUUGGACCAGGACAGGUUCCGUUAGGUGAGAUCGUCCCUGUGGAAAUCGUUGUUGAACCAGGACAGGUUCUGUUGGGUGAGAUCAUCCCUGUGGAAAUCACUGUCGAACCAGGACAGGUUCCGUUAGGUGAGAUCAUCCCUGUGGAAAUCACUGUCGAACCAGGACAGGUUUCGUUGGGUGAGAUCGUCCCUGUGGAAAUCGUUGUCGGACCAGGACAGGUUCCGUUGGGUGAGAUUGUCCCUGUGGAAAUCACUGUCGAACCAGGACAGGUUUCGUUGGGUGAGAUCGUCCCUGUGGAAAUCGUUGUUGGACCAGGACAGGUUCCGUUACAUGAGAUUGUCCCUGUGGAAAUCAUUGUUGAACCAGGACAGGUUCCGUUACAUGAGAUUGUCCCUGUGGAAAUCAUUGUUGAACCAGGACAGGUUCCGUUACAUGAGAUUGUCCCUGUGGAAAUCGUUGUUGAACCAGGACAGGUUCCGUUACAUGAGAUCGUCCCUGUGGAAAUCGUUGUUGAACCAGGACAGGUUCCGUUGGGUGAGAUCGUCCCUGUGGAAAUCGUUGUUGGACCAGGACAGGUUCCGUUGGGUGAGAUCGUCCCUGUGGAAAUCGUUGUUGGACCAGGACAGGUUCCGUUAGGUGAGAUCGUCCCUGUGGAAAUCGUUGUUGAACCAGGACAGGUUCUGUUGGGUGAGAUCGUCCCUGUGGAAAUCGUUGUUGGACCAGGACAGGUUCCGUUGGGUGAGAUCGUCCCUGUAGAAAUUGUUGUUGAACCAGGACAGGUUCUGUUGGGUGAGAUCGUCCCUGUGGAAAUCACUGUCGAACCAGGACAGGUUCUGUUGGGUGAGAUCGUCCCUGUGGAAAUCGUUGUCGAACCAGGACAGGUUCCGUUGGGUGAGAUCGUCCCUGUGGAAAUCGUUGUUGGACCAGGACAGGUUCCGUUGGGUGAGAUCGUCCCUGUGGAAAUCGUUGUCGAACCAGGACAGGUUCCGUUAGGUGAGAUCGUCCCUGUGGAAAUCGUUGUUGGACCAGGACAGGUUCUGUUGGGUGAGAUCGUCCCUGUGGAAAUCCUUGUUGAACCAGGACAGGUUCCGUUGGGUGAGAUCGUCCCUGUGGAAAUCGUUGUUGGACCAGGACAGGUUCCGUUGGGUGAGAUCGUCCCUGUGGAAAUCGUUGUUGGACCAGGACAGGUUCCGUUGGGUGAGAUCGUCCCUGUGGAAAUCGUUGUUGGACCAGGACAGGUUCUGUUAGGUGAGAUCGUCCCUGUGGAAAUCGUUGUUGGACCAGGACAGGUUCUGUUGGGUGAGAUCGUCCCUGUGGAAAUCGUUGUUGAACCAGGACAGGUUCCGUUGGGUGAGAUCGUCCCUGUGGAAAUCGUUGUUGAACCAGGACAGGUUCCGUUGGGUGAGAUCGUCCCUGUGGAAAUCGUUGUUGGACCAGGACAGGUUCUGUUGGGUGAGAUCGUCCCUGUGGAAAUCCUUGUUGAACCAGGACAGGUUCCGUUGGGUGAGAUCUGGAAAUCAUUGUCGAACCAGGACAGGUUCCGUUAG
rnacentral:lncRNA from 1 species